UUUAAGGAUAUGGUAGGAGAGCGUUCUGUAAGCCGAUGAAGGUGUCUUGAGAAGGAUGCUGGAGGUAUCAGAAGUGCGAAUGCUGACAUGAGUAGCGAUAAAGGGAGUGAAAAGCUCCCUCGCCGAAAGCCCAAGGUUUCCUGCGCAACGUUCAUCGGCGCAGGGUGAGUCGGCCCCUAAGGCGAGGCUGUAAAGCGUAGUCGAUGGGAAACAGGUCAAUAUUCCUGUACCUCUUUGUAAUGCGAUGGGGGGACGGAGAAGGUUAGGUCAGCCGGGUGUUGGACGUCCCGGUUCAAGCGUGUAGGCAGACCUCUUAGGCAAAUCCGGGGGGUCAAUGCUGAGGCGUGAUAACGAGUGGUCUUGUACCGCGAAGUGAUUGAUACCAUGCUUCCAAGAAAAGCCUCUAAGCUUCAGUUACAAGGAGACCGUACCGCAAACCGACACAGGUGGGCAGGAUGAAAAUUCUAAGGCGCUUGAGAGAACUCAGGAGAAGGAACUCGGCAAAUUUGCACCGUAACUUCGGGAAAAGGUGCGCCCUGAUAGGUUGUAGCCCCUCGCGGGUGAAGGCUGAAAGGGUUGCAGUGAAAUGGUGGCUGCGACUGUUUAAUAAAAACACAGCACUCUGCAAACACGAAAGUGGACGUAUAGGGUGUGACGCCUGCCCGGUGCCGGAAGGUUAAGUGAUGGGGUGCAAGCUCUUGAUCGAAGCCCCGGUAAACGGCGGCCGUAACGAUAACGGUCCUAAGGUAGCGAAAUUCCUUGUCGGGUAAGUUCCGACCUGCACGAAUGGCGUAACGAUGGCCACACUGUCUCCUCCUGAGACUCAGCGAAGUUGAAGUGGUUGUGAAGAUGCAAUCUCCCCGCGGUUAGACGGAAAGACCCCAUGAACCUUUACUGUAGCUUUGCAUUGGACUUUGAACCGACUUGUGUAGGAUAGGUGGGAGGCUGUGAAGCCGGGACGCUAGUUCUGGUGGAGCCAACCUUGAAAUACCACCCUGGUUUGUUUGAGGUUCUAACCACGGCCCGUGAAUCCGGAUCUGGGACCGUGCAUGGUAGGCAGUUUGACUGGGGCGGUCUCCUCCUAAAGUGUAACGGAGGAGUACGAAGGUACGCUAGGUACGGUCGGACAUCGUGCUAAUAGUGCAAUGGCAAAAGCGUGCUUGACUGCGAGACCCACACGUCGAGCAGGUACGAAAGUAGGUCAUAGUGAUCCGGUGGUUCUGUAUGGAAGGGCCAUCGCUCAACGGAUAAAAGGUACUCUGGGGAUAACAGGCUAAUACCGCCCAAGAGUUCAUAUCGACGGCGGUGUUUGGCACUUCGAUGUCGGCUCAUCACAUCCUGGGGCUGUAGUCGGUCCCAAGGGUAUGGCUGUUCGCCAUUUAAAGUGGUACGUGAGCUGGGUUUAAAACGUCGUGAGACAGUUUGGUCCCUAUCUGCCGUGGGCGCUGGAAAUUUGAAGGGGGCUGCUCCUAGUACGAGAGGACCGGAGUGGACGAACCUCUGGUGUACCGGUUAUGACGCCAGUCGUAUUGCCGGGUAGCUAAGUUCGGAAGAGAUAAACGCUGAAAGCAUCUAAGCGUGAAACUCGCCUUAAGAUGAGAUUUCCCUGGGGACUUGAUCCCCCUGAAGGGUCGUGGUAGACCACCACGUUGAUAGGCUGGGUGUGGAAGCGCAGCAAUGCGUUAAGCUAACCAGUACUAAUUGCCCGUGAGGCUUGAUC
rnacentral:rRNA from 1 species